GUCUUGGUGUGAAAAUGUGUGCAAAAAGCACAGCAGAUUACGUGGAAGAACUUUGGGGCCCAAAAGAGGAAAAGAAGCCACAACUUCAACUACUGGACACAGUCUUCGAUUUGCACCCUCAAAAAGUGCUGCGCAGGGCAGCAGCCGUAGGUUUCACAGGAUGGACGUAGACAAAAGUCUACGGCUGGGCAACUGUUCCGUGAUGGUGCUUUCCUUGCUGCGAAGUUGUGCACCACCUGCCAUCAGGCACAGCCCUGCAAGAAAGUAAACAGCAUUUUUGGUUGACAGGACUGCGGUCAGCCUCUGGCCGGUGGUCUUCUCCAUCUUCCAGAGAGGGGUGUGUUUGCCACGGAAAACCCUCUCUCCAACUGUGGUCUUUCGUCGGUACACUGGUGUGUACGUCGUGGAGAUCCUCCCCCGAGGGACUGGCGUCGCUCGGCCCGUCAGCAGGGAAUCGGAGGAGCUUGGACUACGACUGGUGGAUACAGCCGUCACGUCCCUGGACCUUUAUAGCCGUAGGUGUCACUGCUAUCACCUGGUGGGGGCCGUCCCAGCGUUCACUGUCCCAGCGAGGUCGUCUCAGCACUUUGAGGAAGACUUGAUCUCCCACGCGGACGUGAUUUGUCUGUGGAGCAGAACACACUGGCAACUGUUUAUGCAUCUCUUUCCGGUCAAACAUGUUUUUUAUGUGGACUGGGCUCGAUGUGCCCGUUGCUGGUUAUUCUGACGAGUCGAGGUCUGGAAGUCUGGAAGUCUGUAGGGGCGGGCAUAUAGAAUUUCAAAUGGGGAUAAUGUUUUUCCUUCAGCUGGCACUAUCCUUAUUGCCAUUGCAACGAUUGAAACACAGUCAGGCCAUUGUCUUUUUGUUUCCUUUAUUGUCUUUAUGAGUCUAGCUUUGACAGUUCAGUCCAGCAGUUUUUGGAUGAUACACGCAAUGACGCUUUCAGUCGAUUUUCAGCAGCUGUCCAACUUUUGUCACAGCAUCAUUCACAAAAUGUGUGCCAUUGUCACUUCGAAUCAGACUUGGAAUGCCAAACGUUGGAAUAAUAUGAUUACACAGUGCUUUUACAACCGUCUUUGCAUCAGCAUGCACUGUUGGAAACAACUCAACCCAUUUGGAGAACACAUCAAUUAUCACCAAACAAUAUUGCAUCCCUAAUGCUUUGUUGAACUCAAUGUAAUCCAUAUGGAUUGUGUGAAAUGGGUCUGGAGGGAGAGGAAAUGUUCCUCUUCGUGGUCUUAAAUACCCUUGUGCAUUAUUUUUUAAACAGAUAACACAUUGUUUGCAUUGUUUUGAGAAGUGUAAAAACCCAUGUGUGUGAUAAUACUGUUGUGUCAAUGCCACCAUCCCCCCUGUUGACACAUGACUCAAUCCAUGUGUCAAUCUUGCUGCCCAUCCAAACAAUGAUUUUGGCAGCCAGGGUUUUUCAUCGGCCAAUUUGCUAACCCCAUCCUUGUCAAUUUUCACACCUUUGUUCUCCCAAUGUGUGCGUCAGUGAGUGGUGCUUUUUUCUGACGUGAAAUCAAAAUGUCAUGUUGAUUUACUGCGUGUGUUUUUGUUACCUCUUUCACCAGUGCUAUGUCAACCAUGGGGAAUCCCUGGGCUGCAGCCUUGGCUGCUUGAUCAAUUAGUCUGUUACCAAUUGUAAUUGGGUCACUUCCUGCUAAUUGAGCUUCACAUUUACAAAUGGCUACUUUGUCCGGCGGUUGUACUGCGUCCAGUAACUGCUGGUGAAGUGCCUUCUGAGCAACCUCUUUACCUAUUGUGGUAAUAAGCCCCGAUUUGACCGUUGUCGACAAAACACAUGAACUGAACCCCAGCCAUAUUGGAGUGGCUCGUGCUACGGAAUCCAAUUGUUGCGAAUAGUAUGCAACUGGUCUCAUUUUCCCUCUGUGUUUCUGCAGCAACACUGAGGUCAUGAACCCGUUUUUUGCAGUCACUGUCUGCUCAAAAGACCUGUCAUAAUUUAGUAGUGCGAGCACAGCUGAGUCAAUGAGUUCUCUUUUGACAAGAUCAAAAGCUUUGUCAGCUUCUGGCGUCCAUGCAAUUUUGUCUUGUAAUGUCAUUGGCUUAUCACAAAUUAUGUUCAGCAAUGGUCACGUGAUUUCUGAGUAAUUUGCAAUCCAGGCGCGAUAAUAAUUGCAAAGACCCAAAAAUGACGUGCUUUUUUGUUACAGGUUUUGGAGCCUUGGCGACGGCUUGUUUAUGUUUGUCACCGACAAUGCGUCCUCGUUCAGUCAAAAUGUGUCCUAGAUACGUUACUUCUUGUUUCCAUAAUUGCAUUGUGUCUUUUGAAACUUUGUUUCCCGUGUCAUACAAAUAUUGCAGUAACGCUAAUGUAAUAAUCGAUUUUGCAUUGCUCUUGUGUGUUUGAGGCCACUAAAAUGUCAUCCACAUAUGCCAAAAUUUGGCUUUUGUGUGUGCCAUUAAAUGAGGCCAAACACCUUGUGAUUGCUUCUGAGAAAAUUGUUGGGGAGUCACAAAAUCCCUGGGAUAACCUUGUGAACGUUAAUUUCUCACCUUUGAACGUAAACGUGAACCAGUAUUGGCUGUCAGGGUGGACAGGGAUACUCCAAAAGGCAUUACACAGGUCCACCACCGAAAACCACCUAGUUCCCGGUUGUAAUGAGUUCAAAAGAGUGUGUGGAUUAGGAACAUAUGGCGCACGCGAUUGUACUCCUUGGUUUACUGCACGUAAAUCUUGAAUUAAUCUCCAUUUGUUGCUGUGUUCUUUUCGGACUGGAAAUAUAGGCCUAUUACAAGGCGAGUCUGGGCACGCGCGUAAAAUUCCUGCCUUUUUUUAAUUCGGUAACUUUCGGGGUUGGAUGCCUUUUUUCAGCGGGUAUUGUCGAAUUAUCGGACGAUGUUCCGUUUUUCCCUGUAUAAUUACUGGUGGUGUGUUUGUCAUGAGUCCAACAUCACCGGGUCCAGUGCUCCACAGCCCGGAUGGGAGAUGACAAAUGGCUUCUUCCUCAACAGGGGUGAGCACAUAAACUUCGGCUAAUCAGCUGUAGUGGACUCGUGCAAAUGUAUCAAAAUUCCAUCGAACGCGCAAUCUGAACCAUCCUGAUUCUGUUUCUUCAACGUCGUCGAAGUUUUGUGAUGGGACCCAAAUUUCGUGUGGAAUUGUUCUGGCAAAAUUGUUUGUGUCCCUCCAGUCACAUUGUUUUGGCUUCACAAGUGAAAUGUGUGGAUGCUGCCCGGGAGGGAGCAGCGCUUUCACUUCCGCGGUGAGUCUUGAUAGUCACAAAACACCACCUUCCUUUCCAAUAAAUGUAAUUGACCUGCACUUCUUGUUCAGCCAAUUCCAAAAACAAUUUGGUGUAGUCUGGAUCAGGGCCCGAGGAUUCUUUGUACCUAAUGGUGACAUGUAAAUUAUUUCAGUACUGCAUGUCGCCUCACGGUUGGACCUUCCCGUGAGCUACUUUCAGUAAAUUUUCAACGCCACAUUCCUCUUCAGGCAAAUCCAGCGACCAAUAAUAAUGUGCCCCAUUUUCUUGAAUUUGGAUGUUUGCUUGCAUUCGCCCCUGUUUAUUAAUUGCGAUGAUAAUCUCUAAUUGUGUCAAUGCCGCGCGACCUAAUAAAUUGAGUGGGCACCGUGGCUGUAGAACUCCUUCCACAUUCACCUUUUUAUUUGGGUCAUCGGGACUCUGCAACUCGAUAGGAUGGGACAAAACUAAGGGUUGAACUAAACCAUGAGCUCCGCGCAUGUAAACCUUUUUUCGGCUCGGUUUAACUGUCGCGGGAUCCCAUUUUCCUAAAACGGUCACAUCAGCGUCCGUAUCAACUAGGAAAACAGUUGUUUUUCCCUGAACUAGUAAAGUUAAUUCUGGUUUCAUCAUGGGCUCAGUCUGAUGACGCACUGAAUAAUUUUCGAGGACGAACAUGUGUUUGUCUUGCUCAACAUUUUCAUCAUUGUCGCUAUCGGAGGAGUUCAGAGGGUGGGUCACCAAUCUGCCGUCCGCAGCCCCUCUGGAGUCCUGGCCUAGUCAUUCAUCAUCAGAUGAAUCGUCAACACGGCGUCGACAAGGCUCGGCCUUGGCUUUACAAUAGUGAGCACGAUGACGGUCUUUGCCGUUAAGACACUUGCCUUCUCUAAACCACGUUUGCUUUUUGGGUGAUAAUUUGGAGACGUCAAAUGGAGGUUUUUUGUUACUCCCGUCAUGUGGUCCCCCUUUUGUGUCAUGAAGCUUUCCUGUAUAGUUAAUGUUUACUACAGGAUGCUCUGCUUUUUUCUUUUUUUGCUCGACACGUUCAUAAUUUCUUGCAUAAUUUAGGAUUUCCUCCAUUGGGCAAGUCGGCCAAUUCAAAUUAUGCUUCUUCACGUAAUUACAAAUUUCUGAUCGAACUUGAUUUAGAAAGUGUUGUUUUAAAUGGGAGUUAAAUAAUUCCCUUUGAUCUUCUGGAAUUCCGCUGUACACUUUGAAAAUGGUGCGGAGUCUGUGAAAGAAAUCAUCUACAGACUCCUCUUGUUUCUGGGUGCAUUUCACAAUUUCCUUUGGAUCAGCACUUUUUUGAACGCAUUAGCACAUGUUUCCAUGAUUCGGCGUAAAUGUCCGCCAUCCUGACGAGCCAGUUCUUCAUAAGGAAUGAACUGUCCGUCAUUUCGUCUUGGAUUAAACUGUUGGACUAUAGCGCCAUAUUUUGACCCUCUUGUUAAUGCCAGUGGUUUAAAAAAUUCCCCCGCAUUCAGGCGGUGGCUGUGAACCAUGUCUGUCAUUUCAUUAACGAAUGCAUCCGAGUCGUCAUUUGGAUUUGGGAGUGAUCUCGCAAUGUCUCUGUAUUCGGUUGGGGUCCAUGGUCUGUACACAAAGAUAGAAUCAUCACCCUGGACAGGCAUUUCUACCAUAGGGUAGGCCUGAACUUGAUCAUUUAAGUGGGGGUGAUGACUCUAGUCUGGGACUAGUGGGGCAUUCAAAUUAAGGGAAUGUCUACACUGGCCCACUGAUCCCUUAGUUCGUGUUUGAUAAGGGGUAAUGUUACAAUUUGUCUCACAUGGUUUAUUCUGUUCUACUUGCUUGUCAGUCAGUUUACCUGUCACCUGAGAAUAUGAUGGCAAAGACUGAUAUAAUUUUUGCUUGGGUGUCUUUGAUAUCAUAUUGCCAGAUUGUGCGGUUAUGGUUGAGUCGUCGUCCAUUUUCUUUUUUUUUUUUUUUUUUUUCAGUUUUACGACUUUGAAUUUCUCUGGCCCUAUCAAGGAGGGCCCUACAAUAAGACCACUAUUUACCCUGGGUAUUGUCUUUUCUCUUCUGCCUGUCUUUAUUAAAUAAUUUACUGAGAAGUUUGUCCAAUUCUUCAGUUGUCUACAUUUCCAGAAAAUCCAUACUUUUUCUGAAUUUUGUUGUUCCCUUAUAAUCAAUUUCAGCUAAACAACAUUUUUCCUUUACUUCAACGUCGGAAAGUGGACAGUUGGAAUUUUUGGUCGACAUUAACGCCAUUUCUGACGGUCUUAUUUCUUAUAAGCGUCUAGAUAUGGUUCCUCAGUGUUGAGAAAAAUUCAAAGUGCCUGACUUCGGGUUGAAUACCAAGCUUCAAGUCCCAAUUCGGAGCGGGUAACACCUGGGUGUUUUUACUCACGACCCUCAGUCAGUUUUAGAUUUCUCAAACUUUGGACAUUCACUCUGUACACAUUCACUCUCACAGGCUGAUCAAUUUCUGUGUCCUGAAACUAAAAGUGUUCUACUUUUCCAAGUGUCAAACACUGACCUUUGAAAAAUAGGAAAUAUACUAGUCUUUCGACUAGAUAUUCGGAACUAUUCUUCCCAAGUGUUAUAAAAACACUGACCUGUGAAAAAUAGGAAAUAUACUAGUCUUUCGACUAGAUAUUCUGCACUACUUUUCCAAGUGUUAUAAAAACACUGACCUUUGAAAAAUAGGAAAUAUACUAGUCUUUUGACUAGAUAUUCGGAACUAUUCUUCCCAAGUGUUAUAAAAACACUGACCUGUGAAAAAUAGGAAAUAUACUAGUCUUUCGACUAGAUAUUCUGCACUACUUUUCCAAGUGUUAUAAAAACACUGACCUUUGAAAAAUAGGAAAUAUACUAGUCUUUCGACUAGAUAUUCUGUACUACUUUUCCAAGUGUUAUGCAAACACUGACCCGUGAAAAAUAGGAAAUAUACUAGUCUUUCGACUAUAUAUUCAGUGCUAUUUUUCCAAGUGUAAUGCAAACACUGACCUGUGACAAUCUCCGUUGGUUGAGACACAUGCAAUUCAUAGGAUGACGUUUGUGUUCUCCCGGCGGAGGAUGUCCGAGGGCUGGCCUCGUGGAAAGGAGGACUUUCCACGUCUCCUGGAGACUUGGACAGUGCACCAAUUUCAGUCGUCGUCGAUGACCCGCCGAAAAGAAAACGUUGUCAUCCGGCUCAAAGGACCAAGUUUUAGAAUGUCAGAGAUGUUCUUAGAAAAACAGCUAAGACAAGCCUGAGGACUGUAGAGAGCUAACUCAAACCAUCCAAGAUUGUCUUUCUCGCGAUGGACAGAUGGAGGACACACUGUGUGAGUGUGCUUCCUCAGACUGCCAAAGUGGUAGUCCCUGUCUGCUCUUUUUUAUUGCUUUCUCAGGUCAAAGGGUUACAUGGUUACACAGUGAAAAUGCUGACAACAGAUGGCUACACCAACAGCACGUGAACACUAAGGUACAUGUUUCUUCAAGGCUGCAAGAGUGUCCUGAUAAACCCACAAGAGAAAAAGCAUGGCAUUGUUUAAAGACAUGUUUAUGCCAUUUGGGGGUAUCCUCUUGCGGUAGAAGGGCGUUAUCUCCUCCCAGUGUUGAGGAGUAUCUGCUUAAGAUCAUAAGGGAAAAAUGCUGAGGUUGGGAUGGAGACAUCGCUUUCCAGUGUUCAGGAGUAUCAGCUUGAGGACGGCAGGGGGCAUCGCCUCCCAGUUGUCACUGGGUCACACUUCAAGACACGCACGCAGCUCACAAAGAGGACAAUUCUGACUAAGACUAACAGAAACAAACGCAUGAUAAAACAAUCCUAACAGCAACUAUAGUAGUAAUGAUGAUACUUUUAUCAUGAUAACUAACAUAG